CCUACGGGGCGCAGCAGUGAGGAAUAUUGGUCAAUGGACGGAAGUCUGAACCAGCCAUGCCGCGUGCAGGAAGACGGCUCUAUGAGUUGUAAACUGCUUUUGUACAAGGGUAAACCUGAAUACGUGUAUUCAGCUGAAAGUACUGUACGAAUAAGGAUCGGCUAACUCCGUGCCAGCAGCCGCGGUAAUACGGAGGAUCCAAGCGUUAUCCGGAUUUAUUGGGUUUAAAGGGUGCGUAGGCGGAUUGAUAAGUUAGAGGUGAAAUGUCCGAGCUUAACUCGGGAACUGCCUCUAAUACUGUUGAUCUAGAGAGUAGAUGCGGUAGGCGGAAUGUAUGGUGUAGCGGUGAAAGGCUUAGAGAUCAUACAGAACACCGAUUGCGAAGGCAGCUUACCAAUCUAUAUCUGACGUUGAGGCACGAAAGCGUGGGGAGCAAACAGGAUUAGAUACCCCGGUAGUC
rnacentral:rRNA from 1 species